rnacentral:lncRNA from 1 species
GGCUCACUCUCCCUGGACGGCUUUGGAAGUCAGGAGACAGUAUCAGCAUUGUCCACAGCCUUCUCCUGCCUUGCUCCGAUUGGUUGAAGGUUGCCUCUAGACCACUACUUCCUGGCAUUUCUGGUCUACCCUGGCCGGGGGGUGGGGGGACAUUGAGAGCAACACAGAUUUCUUAGCUAGAUAGUCUGCAGCACUGUCAAGCAUUUGUAUCAAGAAUAGUCAGCUUGUGGAGCGUUGAGUUGAGCGGUACUGUGGUUGGGAUCAGAGUCUUCUCCAUGUGUGAGCUGAGGGUUUGGUUUCUAGUUCCGAUCCAGUGCUCUUCGGAAGCGACUGACUGGAUGCUGAGGCUCUUCCCCGAUGUCUUCAAAGUUGGAAAAGCCUACUGGAAGGUGGAAGGACUGAGGAAGGAGAGGCUGGAAGGUAGGCUGUUGUGAACUGGCACCUGUUGUGUUUCUUCUCUGUUUAAUGGCUGCCAGAGAGAGGACAAGAAAGGUAGACCUGGACUUGUUUGGUGGUCUCACGGAAAUGACUGGCCAUGGCUACCAUUGAGCUAAUAAAUCUCAGCAUCUAACACAAGCCUGAGUGACACACCCUGCCUGGCUAAGGGCGAUCAAAACCAGUCUUUAGCCCCGAAUCCGAGAUCUUGUGACUACUGUAGCCCACGAAGAUGGCCAUUGUAGAAGUGAAGGCACACAAGCCAGUGCUGUUAACUCAUCUGGCAAAGGAAACUUCAAGGCAUUCUGUUUGUUUUGUAGCAGGCAAAUUGCUAUGUGCUUUUAAAGCAGGGUUUAUAGUAAUUGCUGAGAAUAAAAAGGCAACAUGGAGAGAUUUGGCUUAGAAAAACUGAAAGGCCUUUGGAAAGCUAGUUCUAAGGAAGUAAGUAUGGCUGAUAUAUGCCUAGGUGUGUGUCACGUUGAGAAAAACCCAGCACAGAGAAAGAAUGGAGUACCUGCCAUUCAGCAUGUCCAUCACGGAUACACCAGGAGAAAAGGCCGGGACAGGAGGGACUGAUUCAAAGUAAGAAAAACUUUGCCAAGAACCAAAGAUAUUCUAUUUUCUUCCCUCUGGGAACACCUUGUGCUUCUAAGCAGAGAUGGUGAGUCUCAGGCCCUGCACCCAAGCUGAACAGCUGCUACACUUCGGUGGAGCUGCCAUCAGAAGACAUGGACUGUUUUGGGCUGUGGAUGUUAAGCUAAGAAUGUGUAACACGUGAACUUGGCGGACUAUCUGGUCAGAGGAGUAAAGACCCUGGCCAUCUACAUUAGCAAAUCUUUCCCAAACAGGAUCGACUGAAACAGAAGACACACCAGAAUCAGCUGUGACUGAAGAAAGCAAAGAUUAGUGAAAUACUGCCCAAUC